rnacentral:pre_miRNA from 7 species
AUUUCCAGCAAAUGAAAGACCCCUGAAGGGAGACCCUCACUCAAGCCUCGGGACAGCCGCGGACCCAAGAAGACACUGAGACCG